UGUCCUGCUGUGCUCCGGCUGAGCCUCAGCUGCUAUGGACGGAUCUCCGAAACAUGUCCCUCUUCACUCCUGCAGCUCUAAACAGUCUGAAAUGCGUGUAAUGUCCUGUAACUGUCUCUUCAUGAUUGGCUGUGAGGAAAUGUUGAGCGGAUUGAGGAGAGGACACACCUCCACCUGUCCGGAUGCUUCAAACACAUCCUCAUGUAAUAGUACUGGAGCAUUAGCAUGUGCUGGCGAUGCUGCAAACGAGAUUCCAGAACGACAUUAGGCUCUUUUAUUUUCUUGAAGAGAAAUGGCAUUUCCACAAACGGCUACAAGAUGAAGCGACACACACAAACACAGCAGAAGCUGAAUUCAGUUUCUCAGACUAUUGUUGGUCACUAAACGUAAACGAAAGGAAAGUUCAGCAUCAAACUUCAGGAAAAAAAGGUAAUAUUAUACUACAAGUGUUGUAUUGUACAUUCAUUUAAUAUGUUGAGUCCACUCUGAAUUAAACUGCAGUAUAAAAACUCCCAG
rnacentral:lncRNA from 1 species